AUGUUUGGUGAGCAUCUACCACAUGGGAAAGAUCCUUCUUUUUGUUUCGGUCAUCUGCAGUUGGGGGCUGUAGGUCCAUCCCUGUCCUCCCCUAAGCAGGAGAAUAACCCUGUAGACUUCUUGUUAGGGUUCUGGGGUCUCUGGAUGAAUCUGAUGCAGACCCAGUCAUCAGCCUGGCUGGGCGGCAAAAUCAGAAAGCUUGGACGGGGGCUGUGGAACCUUGAUUCUUGUCCCAGUUUUGUCAUUUCCUGCUUCAGCCUCUUUUCAGCUCCCAGCCUCAAUGUCCUCACCUCCAAAAUGGAGAUCUUAAUUACAGUGGUCUGGCUUUGCUCACAGGGUCACUGUGAAAAUCAAAUGAGAUUGCACAGGGAAAAAUCUCUUCAGACUGGAGCUCCAUGCAAUGGUCAUCAUCUGUUGAUGUUGCUCUCUGACAGAUUCUCACUCUGUUGCCAGGCUGGAGUGCAAUGGCGCGAUCUCAGCUCACUGUACCCUCUGCCUCCCAGGUUCAAGCGAUUCUCCUGCCUCAGCCUCCCACGUAGCUGUGACGACAGGUGCGCGCCACCACACCCAGCUAACUUUUUUUUUUUUUUUAAUUUUUAGUAAAGACAAGGUUUCACCAUAUUGGCCAGGAUGGUUUUGAUCUCCUGACCUUGUGAUUUGCCCGCCUCAGCCUCCCAAAGUCCUGGGAUUACAGGCGUGAACUACUGUGCCCGACAGUGUUGAACUUUUUUACCUACAUUUUCUCAGUAAUGUAAGGACCUCAUAGACCAGUGAAAUCCUCCCCUUUCCAAGACCUCAAUUUUGGGAGCUGACAUAGGGCUGCUCACUUUUUAUUUUGCCAUGGAAAGACAUUAUAAAGCAAAUAUCCAUUCAAUUGUUUAUUCAGUUGACAAAUAUUUAUUGAGGAUUUACUCUGUGCCAGGCAUUCUUUCAAGCCUUGGGAUACAGCUGUGAACAAGACAGACAAAAACCCCUGCCCUCCUGUGAAGUGGGCCAAACAGGAAAUAAAUCAUAGGUCACAUGGGCUAAGUGCUAUGGAGGAAAAACAGGUUAGGGAAUGGGGAAAGGCACUCUGUGGGUGGAUGGCAGUUUUCAAUAAGGUAACCAGGGAAGGUGUCCUUGAGAAGGAGACGUGUGAGUUAAGUUCUGAAGCCAGUGAGGCAGUGAGUCUUGUGGGUGGGGGUGAGUGGGGCAAGGAUUCUUGGCAGGGGCCACAGCAGCACCAAGGCCCUUAGUCCUCUUCAGUGCAAAAAAUAAUAAUCAAAGAAGGGCCUUGGUGAGGUGGCGCAUGCCUAUAAUCCCAGCACUGGGAGGCCGAGACAGAAGGAUUGCUUGAAACUAGGAGUUCAAGACUGUCUCUAAAAAACAUAAAUUAGCCAGGCAUGACUGUGUGUGCCUGUGGUCCCAGCUACAGGCUGCGGUGGGAGGAUCGCCUGAGCUCAGGAGUUCAAGACUGCAGUGAGCUGUGUUUGUGCCACUGCACUCCAGUCUGGGCAACAGACUGAGACCCUGUUUCUGUAAUAAAAAUAUAAUAAUAAUAAAGGAAGGAUAUAAUCACAGAAUAAGAGCCAAUCUUCC
rnacentral:lncRNA from 1 species